rnacentral:rRNA from 1 species
UAGGGAAUCUUCGGCAAUGGACGAAAGUCUGACCGAGCAACGCCGCGUGAGUGAAGAAGGUUUUCGGAUCGUAAAACUCUGUUGUUAGAGAAGAACAAGGACGUUAGUAACUGAACGUCCCCUGACGGUAUCUAACCAGAAAGCCACGGCUAACUACGUGCCAGCAGCCGCGGUAAUACGUAGGUGGCAAGCGUUGUCCGGAAUUAUUGGGCGUAAAGCGAGCGCAGGCGGUUUCUUAAGUCUGAUGUGAAAGCCCCCGGCUCAACCGGGGAGGGUCAUUGGAAACUGGGAGACUUGAGUGCAAAAGAGGAGAGUGGAAUUCCAUGUGUAGCGGUGAAAUGCGUAGAUAUAUGGAGGAACACCAGUGGCGAAGGCGGCUCUCUGGUCUGUAACUGACGCUGAGGCUCGAAAGCGUGGGGAGCAAACAGG